rnacentral:tRNA from 1 species
GCCUUCGUGGUGUAAUGGUCAAGCACACUUGGUAUGUAUUCAAGAGGUCCGUGGUUUGAAUCUUGAUGAGGGCA